rnacentral:rRNA from 1 species
CCUACGGGUGGCAGCAGUGGGGAAUAUUGCACAAUGGGGGAAACCCUGAUGCAGCGACGCCGCGUGAGUGAAGAAGCGUUUCGGCGCGUAAAGCUCUGUCAGCGGGGAAGAAACACGGUUCGCGAGAGCCGCGGACGGUACCCGACCAAGACGCCCCGGCUAACUACGUGCCAGCAGCCGCGGUAAUACGUAGGGGGCAAGCGGUAUCCGGAUUUACUGGGUGUAAAGGGAGCGUAGACGGCAAGGCAAGCCAGCAGUGAAAGGGCAGGGCUCAACCCUGUACAUGCUUUUGGAACUGUGGUGCUAGAGUGCAGGAGAGGUAAGUGGAAUUCCUAGUGUAGCGGUGAAAUGCGUAGAUAGUAGGAGGAACACCAGUGGCGAAGGCGGCUUACUGGACUGUAACUGACGUUGAGGCUCGAAAGCGUGGGGAGCAAACAGGAUUAGAUACCCCUGUAGUC